CCCUUAGAUGUUCUGGGCCGCACGCGCGCUACACUGAUGCAUUCAACGAGUCUAAAACCUGCUCUGAUAGGGGUGGGUAAUCUUUUGAAUGUGCAUCGUGAUUGGGAUAGAUGAUUGCAAUUUUUCAUCUUCAACGAGGAAUGCCUAGUAAACGCAAGUCAUCAGCUUGCAUUGAUUACGUCCCUGCCCUUUGUACACACCGCCCGUCGCUCCUACCGAUUGAAUGAUCCGAUGAAUAUCAUAGACUGAGAGUAUAAGCAGGUUCGCCUGUCUUUGCUUCUCGGGAAGUGAAGUAAAUCUUAUCAUUUAGGGGAAGGAGAAGUCGUAACA
rnacentral:rRNA from 1 species